AAGUCGUAACAAGGUUUCCGUAGGUGAACCUGCGGAAGGAUCAUUAACACGUAUCCAAACGUCCUUGCAGGACAUCAAAACAGCAAUCCCGAGUAAAUCAGGCGCUAAAGAAUUACAGAUUUUGAUUUUGGGAAGUUCUGUGUGUACGUGGACGCUGCAAUUGAGCCCCUGUCUGAAAGCGGCAGGGAUCAAUGUUCAGGGUGGCGCAGUCAACGAUCGCUGUAGGUCCACACGACCGGCGACCGGGGUGGAGGCGAAAGCCCCUACGUCAUCCCUAUGUACCCUCCGGGACUUGGCGAAAGCUGACUCCGUCAUAAAUCGAACAACUGUUAACAAUGGAUAUCUUGGUUCUC
rnacentral:misc_RNA from 1 species